CGGAUUACUAAAAUUGUUCGACCAUCAUUUGUUUGCAAUUUGUUUUUUCUUUCUGGGUUUGAAUGGCAGUGGUGACAUUUAACGUGGUGAGUAUUCAAUCAUGUAGGACAGAUCUACUCUCAACAGUCGGAAGUUAAACGUGGAAUGCCUCGUCCGAGGUUAACGGUUGAACAACGUCGAAUUAGUCAAGCACGAAGAAGGCAAUUAGAUGCUGCUCGGAAAAGGAGGAGACGAAUGGAUAUUAACUACAGACAGAAUGAGCAGCAAGCGAAUACCGAAGCACGCCGGAAAGCACGACAAGUAUCUCGCACACACUAUAGAUACUUCACUUGUGACAACUUCUUAGUGGGAAAGUCAUGACCCUUCUGAAGUCUCCAAGUUCUUGUUCAAGGAAGAAACAAAGAAGGUUAACGGCCGAAGGCACCUUCAGGCGGAUGUUAUGCCAACAAUAUUUGAUUACCCAGAAUACCUUCUUAGCCAGUGUUCUGUAAUAAGGAUGGCUAAUAACCAACAGACAUUAAUAGGUAGUUCCCAGGACUUUUUUCCACUAGCUGAUCAUUCCAUUUUUGGAGAAUGUUCUGGAGCACCCUCAAAGCAAGUUGUUGAUGAUUGUAGCAGGAGCCUCCUAAGAUCCUGUAAACUUGUUCCAAAACUUCAAACCAGCAAGAAAAUACGUAAAUCAGAUGAUCAUGGAGCAGAGGGUGUUGACAGGGUUCCCACUGUAAAUACAGAUUGCAGGAACAUGGACUCUGAGUCUCCAUCAUCUCUGGAAGAGAAUGAAAGUGAAAAGAAGAGAGACGUAGCAGUCGAGGAAUCAGACACCUCCGUCUGCUCUGUGGAAAUGUCUGCAGGAGUUAAUGCCAUUAGUAGACUGAAGUGAUUUCCAUCGGCAAGUGUGAGUUCCUUGACAGAAAACUUAAAAAGUUCAUAUGCCCACUGUUACAUUGUAGGAGCAAAACGUCUUAGUGGAAUUAUGUAUUGAUUUGAAUUCAUCAUUAGACCAAACAGAGUGAAAUGUGUAUCGGAGUCCAUCUCAGCAUUGGACUGGAAAUUGUUAAAGAGUUAUUUAAAUGCCCUUUAAGCAUUGUGUUGUAGUAUAAUGAACACAACAGGGGCAUUCAACAAGUUUGCCACCAUAUCCAGGCCAGUGAAGCUGUUUUGAAGACAGAAUCCACACCACAUAGUGAGGCUGAUCCGUUAUCCAUUUCUGUUGAAGGUCGAGAAAGAAAACUUCCUGAAGUUCCUGCACCUGUAGUUUGAAGAGACGUUCAGAAUGUCAUAGGUAAAUUGAAGUUUGAGCCUGAUUCAGGUGAUGAAGCAGAUGUGAUGCCUAAAAAUAUUAAAACUGAGUUCAUUGACAUAAAGGCAGAAGGAACUCCAGACUCUGCAGCUUUAGAAAAUGAUGAUAAUGAAGAACUUCAUUCUGUCAUUUCAUCCUUGCAUGAAUAUGGCGGCGUAGAUGAAAAGUGUGCCACUGCGUCAAAAUCUGAAAGCUGUACCCCAGGUAGUACUCUCCGACCAGCCUCCUCUCGAGACUCUCUGGUCCAUUCUCCUAUCACUAGCAGUUGUUACCAUAGAUGACCUAUGUUGAUAUAUUUUAACAACUUGCCCCCUUGUUACAUUGGCUUCUUAUUUUGUGCAGUUAACAUAGGUUAUCUAUGGUCAACAGCUGUGGGAACCUACAAGACGAAGAUGAACGGGGCGCAACACAUGGAGAACCAAAUGGAAGUGAUAGAAGAAACUGUGAAUGGAACUAGCAAUUUAUAAAAAAAAUUAGCAGCGUAUCCAAUUAGUUUUGUGACAUUUCAGAGAUUCUGUAAGAAACUUGAAGAUGGAAGUCCUGGUGUGGUUAUAUUUGUGAGGUUUUCAGCAAUAAUUUUAGAAGGCAAAAUCAGCAGAAUGUGUAGUGUAAUACUUCUCCUUUCAGUUUUGAAUGUAUAAAUUAAUUUGUAUAAAGUUUGUAUUUACUUAAGAAGUGGUAAUUAACAGAAUGUGUUGUACGACACCUAAUUUAUGUUACACUUAAAGUGUUCAGCUAUAAUGUAUCAGAACCAGAGCAGGCGUUGAUACCACAUUGGAUGUAAAGACGAUGUUGCGUGUUUAUGGAUGCAGAAGAGUUGGUACUUGAAUAUGUGGUUGAUUCGUUCAGACUGUAUUAUGUGCUAACCAUGGAAGACAUCAGAAAUGUACCUUACCAGUAAGUUGUCGAAAAGAUGUGACCAUUCCAGAUGGUUGGUGUGACAAAGAACACGCUUCUUCUGACUGGUUGUCUUUCCUUGAACUAUAAACUAUGAGUCUAGGUAAAGCAACUGGUUUCACCAAACAUAACAUUGAGAUGUUCUUUGGUACUUUGGGCAACAUGUUAGUUUGUUAAUACAUUUAUAAUGUGGAUGGGGACUGCAGUAACUAUUGUACAAAAAUCAACGUAGAUCAUAACAAGGAGCAGUGUUAGGGAGAAUGGAGCAGUGGCCUCCAUAAUUGAGAAACUGAGGUGAUUGAUUUUAACACGUUGCUUUAUCUUCCUCCUCUGGUUAGUUGCACCAUAAUUUUGUUGGAUUGUAAAAUGUAAUACACAAUGGAAAUGGAGAAAAUUAAUUAAAUAUUUGUAUGGUAGUUUAAUUUAUAUGAAUAUGUGUGAAUGAGAAUUUAUGUUUACAGUUGUUUAAGGAUUAUUCUUAAGAUGAAUGAUAUUAAAAUUAGUUAUUCUUGAGAAUUCAGUUGUAUCUUCUUAUGAUGAAAAUGAGAAAAAGGAUUUAUUUAUAAAUUACAUUUAUUGUGUGGCCUUACCUUUUCCCAUUAGAGUUCACCCUGGUCUUCUGUUUUGCUAUGUUGUAUGGGGACCAGGGUGUCAGUCUCUGCCCAGUGGUAGGACAUGUAAUGUCUAUUCCAUUUUCUAGGGCUGAAUUGUGUGGGUCUUUUCCUGGCAAUGAAAUUGGGUAGACUACCUACAAGUUCCCGGUGCUGCUUGCUGAGUCGGCAUUGUUUUCUGUGUGUGACUAUUCGGUAUCUUAAAAUAAAUAAUUGUCUUAUAAAGAUUGUGUUUCAGUUGUUUGUCCUGUUGGUGGCAGCAUAUGUAAACCCUUUGCAGAAUCAACUUUGAGCACAGAAUAUGUGCUUGCCUAUUAAACCAAUAUUUAUGGAACCUAUGAGUAACUGCCCUUUUGUUUAAAAGUAACAUUAAAUUGUGAACUGGUGAAAUGUCUGUAGGUUUCCAUUUUAGCCUCUAAAGGAACUAAUAACUUUUCUAUAAUGUAAAUCGUAAGACUGAGAAUCCCUUAACAAUAUUACCGUUGCAGCUGUGCAACGUACAUAUAAACCUGUAGUUGAUAUCCCAUAAGGUCAAAACUUGAUUGGCAGCAUUAACAUGGCAAUUUUUAUAACUGCACACCAGCAUGAUUGACAAAACUCACUGUAUUAUAUGUAGAUUAUACACAAGAAUUAUUAUGGUUAAAAUAUUAUGUUAUGGACAGUAUUAAAAUUUGUGGAUGAAAUUAGAGCGCAUGGUUUGUAAUCUUAAAGAUUGAGGAAGCUCUGUGACAAUUUCGGCUUUCGAGAGUUAGUACAGUAAAACCCCUCUAAUUUGA